GAAAUACUCCCUCCGUUCCAAAAUAGAUGACCCAACUUUGUACUAAAAGAUGACUCAACUUUGUACUAAUUUUAGUAUAAAGUUGGGUCAUCUAUUUUGGAACGGAGGGAGUAGAUA
rnacentral:pre_miRNA from 1 species